rnacentral:rRNA from 1 species
GUCCACGCCCUAACGAUGUCAACUGGUUGUUGGACGGCUUGCUGUUCAGUAACGAAGCUAACGCGUGAAGUUGACCGCCUGGGGAGUACGGCCGCAAGGUUGAAACUCAAAGGAAUUGACGGGACCCGCACAAGCGGUGGAUGAUGUGGUUAAUUCGAUGCAACGCGAAACCUUACCUACCCUUGACAUGUCAGAGAUCCUGCAGAGAUGCGGGAGUGCUCGAAAGAGAAUCUGAACACAGGUGCUGCAUGGCCGUCGU